UGGGGAAUAUUGGACAAUGGGCGAAAGCCUGAUCCAGCCAUGCCGCGUGAGUGAUGAAGGCCCUAGGGUUGUAAAGCUCUUUUGUGCGGGAAGAUAAUGACGGUACCGCAAGAAUAAGCCCCGGCUAACUUCGUGCCAGCAGCCGCGGUAAUACGAAGGGGGCUAGCGUUGCUCGGAAUCACUGGGCGUAAAGGGUGCGUAGGCGGGUUUCUAAGUCAGAGGUGAAAGCCUGGAGCUCAACUCCAGAACUGCCUUUGAUACUGGAAGUCUUGAGAUCGGGAGAGGUGAGGGGAACUGCGAGUGUCGAGGCGAAAUUCGUAGAUAUUCGCAACAACACCAGUGGCGAAGGCGGCUCACUGGCCCGAUACUGACGCUGAGGCACGAAAGCGUGGGGAGCAAACA
rnacentral:rRNA from 1 species